CAACAAUGAUGCUGUGCAAGAAAUGGAAGCCAGUAAUGAUGGCAAAAACAAUGACACUAUGGACCCCACAGGUGAGUUUUUCCUUAUUCUUUAUUACUUGCUUCCUCUUUUUUUUUU
rnacentral:ribozyme from 12 species